ACUUGGGUUAAUACCCUGGGGUCAUGACGGUACCGUAAGAAUAAGCACCGGCUAACUACGUGCCACCAGCCGCGGUAAUACGUACGGUGCAAGCGUUAAUCGGAAUUACUGGGCGUAAAGCGUGCGCAGGCGGUUUUGUAAGACAGAGGUGAAAUCCCCGGGCUCAACCUGGGAACUGCCUUUGGGACUGCAUGGCUGGAGUACAGCAGAGGGGGAUGGAAUUCCGCGUGUAGCAGUGAAAUGCGUAGAUAUGCGGAGGAACACCGAUGGCGAAGGCAAUCCCCUGGGCCUGAACUGACGCUCAUGCACGAAAGCGUGGGGAGCAAACAGGAUUAGAUACCCUGGUAGUCCACGCCCUAAACGAUGUCAACUGGUUGUUGGGUCUUAACUGACUCAGUAACGAAGCUAACGCGUGAAGUUGACCGCCUGGGGAGUACGGCCG
rnacentral:rRNA from 1 species